AAGCCCAAAAAAAAAAAAAAAAAAAAAAAAAGAAGAGAAAGGAAAUGAGAGGCGGAAAAAAUGGGGGAAAAGACAACUUUCAGAGACUGGAAUUAAAACCUGAGCCGCCCGAGGUCUGUCCUGCUGAAGAUCCUGGGAUGCCCACGACACCAGGCUGGAUGUGGGUUCACCCUCCCUGCUGCUCAUUUUCUGGCUGACAAGUUGUCUCUGGCCCUGGUGAGAGUUCACGGGAACAUCCUGCUCAGAUUGUCUCACAAUUACAUGAAUCAGGAGUGGGGGUUAUAUGGAAAACCCCACCCUCCAAAAGCCACGAGGAGCUGCCAGCAGGACCUUGUCUGAGGGACCCUCAGCAGAAGGGCUGAUCCCACCUCAUCCUCCUCCUCCUCCUCCUCUCCCUGCUCUGCUGGCCUGGAGCAUGAUGUGGAUCCUGAUGGACACCAGUGGCUGACCAGAGCUGCUGACCAGCACCAGACCUCAGUGUGGGGACACAGCAGCACUGCAGGCACACACAGGGUGCAGAGGACACCAGGACAUGCCCACCCUGCCCACUGCACUGUGGGCACUCUCUGGGGAAACAAACCCUUUUCACCCACAAUUCCUGGCUGUGAGGCCCCAUGACUCCAAAGCAGCAUUCCUGGGACAUUCCUGGUGCCAUGGUAUGUGCAGAAUUUCCAACAGAGCCUCAUGGCUCCACAUCUCCAUGUGCUCUGCCUGCUGGACUCUGUUAUUUGGGAGAAGGUCCAGGAUGGAGCAGGGGAUUCAUGAUUACCAUUGGUAAUAAUUUAAUAAUUGGUAUUGGUAUUGCUCAUGGUGGUGUCUGUGCAGCUCCUAUGGCCCCAGGUGGGUGUGUGCAGGUGCUGAUGAAGGAAGAGCUGUGCCUCUGUCCCUCCUCAGCAAUAUUUACCAGCUUAGCUGGAAAAAGAGCAAUUUGAAAAAAGUCUCAUGACCAGCCAGACCUGAGCAAAUCAAAUCCAUACUGGGUUGUUCUGGUGCUCUCCAGCCAUGGAAAUUGGGCAGCUCUUCACCACACUUGCUCCCUGGAGUUUGCCUUUAGAAGAGUUUUGUGCUUAGGGAACCUCAUGGUAACCUGGGAGAGAGUUUUGGGGUUUUGUUCCCUACAGGAAAGUCUUUGCUAGCAGGGUCAGGUGCUGGGAGCAGCAUCAGGGCCAGGGAUGCAAUUGGGAAUACUCAGAUCUGCUUGAGACCACACCAGGAAUGGCAAAAAGGAACUUAACUUGCCUUUCCCUGCCUGAACCUCUUGGUCACAUUUUCCAAGGUUUCUCUCAACCUUUAAAAAUAAGAUUAUCACUACUUUUUAAGGGAAUCUGUGAUUCCCCUCCAUGUGAAUCACCCAGAAACUCAAACUCUGCCAUGGUGUUUGAGGAGACUGGGGGUUGUUGGCUCUUGGGCAAAGCACAUCCAACCAGAUUUGCCCUGGAGAGAUGAGGACAAUCAGGGAAUGCUCCAUUUUAGAUCUCUUCAUAGCAGCUCUGAGAAGAUCCUGUGCCUCCUUUCAUUUCCUCGGGACACCUGACUGUGCUUUCCCACCCAUCCACGGAUGUCACCUGGAUGUGCCCAUGAACCAGCUCGCUCUUGGACCUUCAAAGCUGCCUCAGCAAGGUCCAAAGGGCCCUGUUCCAGCCACACCCCUGUCAGCUCCCUUUCCUUUCCAAGGAUUAGGAUGAGGCAAAUACCUCCAGUCUGCUUUAAUCCUCAAUACCUGAUUCUGCAGGAGGCACACACGCAGCACACACACAUCUCAGUAAUAGCCAGCUGCUUGUACCAACUGCUUCUACUCCCUGCUCUUGCCGAUAAAACCUUGCAAAGGAGAUUUUAGGAAGGCAUGACCUGAGUUGAGGUCCAGGAUUUUCUUUGUGUGUGGCUGUUUUGUGAAUUCCUAAUUUGCCAGAGAUGAUGAUCAUGAUGAUAACAAGAAUAAAAAGAUAACACAGACGUGGCUUUUAAACAUCCACCUAUGUUUAGGUCAAAUAAUUGUGGUUUGGGGUUUUGUUUAUUGUCUACUCAGCACACCUCUUAGCUCUGGAUCAUGAUUUUUAGCACCUGAAAAUGUAAUUUUGGCUUCCUGUCUGCAGGUUGGGCUCACUGAAUAAUGUUGCUCUUGUAAGAGCACACCCCUAACACCAGGUCUGCUGGAAUCCCAAAGGCUCCACUGAAAUUAGGGCUGGACCUGUGCACAGUGUCUUGGAUAUUUCAGGGGUUGGACCUGAUUUAGAGCUAAACACAGGAACUUGGGAAGCUCUGUCUGAAAUUAAACAGUUUGUGGCUGCCCCAUCCCUGGGAGUGUCCAAGGCCAGGUUGGACAGGGCUCAUGGCAGGGGAUAAAUGAGAUGAGAUUUAAGGUCCCUUCCAAUCCAAACCAUUCCUCAAUUCUAUGGAAAUCCCUGCAAUUGUUGCUGGUUUCCAAAUGAAGAUAUCAGGAAAAAGUGAGAACUUGCCCUCUGCAAGUGCAAGAAGCUGAUGUGAGCAACCAGCUCCUUCCUGGGCAUCUCCAUGGGGUCAGGGGUGCUGCAUCAGCCAUGUGGGAAGUGUGGGCUGGGGUCUGUGCUGGUUCCAGGCAUGGGCUAAACCUCCCAUGUCCUUCUCCCACCUCCAAAGCAGCUCAGCCCUUGAAUCAUCUCAGCAAACAGCCCCUGGCUGCGUUUUCUUCUGCCAUGUGAGGUUCUUAGGACAUAAAAAAGGGGGAAAAUUGGGACUGUGCUGCUUUCCAUCCACCUUUUGAUGCUGUUGGAAACAUGCAGGAUGAGCAAGAGAGGCUGGUGGGCCUCGUGUGCACCCCAGAGGGUGAGAAUGAGAGGACAAUGGCUCAGCUUUGGCAGCUGCAGAGCAGGGACUGGCACCACAAACAAGGCGGGAAGGGCAAACAGGGCUGUGCCAGCCCUGGCAGGUGGCACCAACCUGCAGGGAGGAGCUGUGGGGAGGGGAUGGAUCCUCCUGGGCUCACCUGGAGCUGGAGCAGGAGCAGGAACGCUGGAGCAGUGGUUGGUAUGCCCUGCACAAGCCUCCCCGCGUCGGGAGCGGUGUCGAACACAGAUCGUAUAAUUAGGGAGCCGGUGAAUACGUAACUGUACAUUAUGCAAAUAGUGAUCAAAAUCACUGUUUUCAGCAGAAAUGCCUGAAGAUCAAGACAGAAGCUUCAUGCAACCUUAAUUUAAUCUGGUCCUGCAGGAGUGGGGAGGUCUGAUGGAUGACCCAACCUUGUGCCUGCCCGUGUUUAGCAAGGCUGGGGUGGGAGGCGGGGGGAGGAGUGCUGGAGCAUGCUAAGCGAGGGGGAAAUGGCACUGAAAUCGUGUUAGCAAACAGGGAAAAAGGGCAGAAAGAGCUGAUGUUUACAGUAAUUUUAUUUUUAUUUGAA